rnacentral:rRNA from 1 species
UACGUAGGGUGCAAGCGUUAAUCGGAAUUACUGGGCGUAAAGCGUGCGCAGGCGGUGAUGUAAGACAGAUGUGAAAUCCCGGGCUCAACCUGGGAACUGCAUUUGUGACUGCAUCGCUAGAGUACGGCAGAGGGGAUGGAAUUCCGCGUGUAGCAGUGAAAUGCGUAGAUAUGCGGAGGAACACCGAUGGCGAAGGCAAUCCCCUGGGCCUGUACUGACGCUCAUGCACGAAAGCGUGGGGAGCAAACAGG